AAACUUUCAACAACGGAUCUCUUGGUUCUGGCAUCGAUGAAGAACGCAGCGAAAUGCGAUAAGUAAUGUGAAUUGCAGAAUUCAGUGAAUCAUCAAAUCUUUGAACGCACAUUGCGCCCCCUGGUAUUCCGGGGGGCAUGCCUGUUCGAGCGUCAUU
rnacentral:rRNA from 1 species